AAUAUAAUGCACAUAAUAAACCUUCACUCUUGUUUCAGAUGACCUCAAAGAUCCCCAUCCCCAUUCACUUAGAGAAUACAUCCGUACCAUGAACACCAGAGUCAUUCUCCAGGGCUCAUGCCUCUAGGGCCGGAUCCUUAAAUUGAAAUUCUUUUAUGCUGGAGCGGGGAGCCUGCUGGGAAUGAACAAGAGAAGGCGAAAGAGUGGGAGGCUGCAGGAGGCAGGGCCAUCCCAAGAGCCUGGACCCUGAGGGCUCCAGUGUGAGGAUUCCUUUUGGCUUCUUUCCUCUCUGGUCGCUGCUUCUGCUUGGAGUUGCCUGGCAAGCACUGUGGCAGAAUGUGUGGCAAGUUCCUGAGGCAGCUGUUGGCUAAGGAGAGCCGGCAUUCCACCCCCGUGGGGCGCUUCCUACUUCCGGUGCUCAUGGGAUUCCGCCUCCUGCUUCUGGUUUCCAGUGGACCUGGUGUCUUCGGUGAUGAAGAGAACGAAUUCAUGUGUCAUUUAGGGCAGCCAGGCUGCAAGACCACUUGCUAUGACAUCUUCCGCCCCCUUUCUCCAUUGCGCUUCUGGGCCUUCCAAGUCAUCCUGAUGGCUGUACCCAGUGUCCUUUACAUGGGUUUCACUCUGUAUCAUGUGAUUGGAUACUGGGAGGAACCAGAAAAAGAAAAUAAGGGACAAGAGACACGGAUUUGCAAGGGGGACCAUAGCAAGGAUGUCUCAGGGGCUGGAAGCCUCAAGCUUCUCUGGGCCUAUGUGGCACAGCUUGGGGCGAGGCUGGUCCUUGAGGGAGCAGCCUUGGGAGUUCAGUACCACCUGUAUGGCUUCAAGAUGCCCAGCACUUUUAUAUGUCGUGAGGAUCCUUGCAUCGGUAGCACGACCUGUUUCCAGUCCCACCCCUCUGAGAAGACCAUUCUCCUCAAUACCAUGUUUGGAAUCAGUGGGACCUGUCUCUUGUUCACUUCCUUGGAGCUUAUGCUUUUGGGUUUAGGGAGGUUUUGGAGGAUGUACAAGCACAAACUUUCCUUUUUAAAGAACUUGCAAACCUCAAAGAGCUCCAUAAGACGCAAGGACCCAGCUGAUGACUUGUCGGUGGUGGAGACAAAAGAGCCAUUUUGAGAAGCAGGUGAGGACCCUACUGAUACUGACAGUCAUCUGUCCCUGCCUCUGAUGUCUCUGUGUUGGCGACCUCCACCCAUGAGUUCUAAAGUUACCUGGCUUGCUUGCAGAAAACCUUUGCGACUGGAUCUUCUUCCACGCAUCCAGUGAGAUGACUGGUGAGACGGUACAGUGGGUAAAGGUGCUUGCCACCAAGCCUCAUGAUCUGAAAUCCAUCUCCAGAACCCACAUGGAGAAGGGAGAAAACCAACUCCCACAAGAUGUCCUCUGACCUCCACAUAUGUGCCACAGCACAUACACACAUGAUAAUAAAAUAAUAAAAUCUCAGAAAACAAAACAAAAACUCUUGCAUCAAUUAGCUAUUACUUCUAACUUCUUAUCUCUCUUGUCUUUCCACUAAAUGUAAGCAACCACUUUCUGUUUUAAUGGGUUAUCAUAGUCUGGGAUUUUAUAGAGAUGGAAUCAUGCAACAUGCUUAUUGGUCACUUGUAUAUCUUUGUAGAAAAGACCAAAUUCUUCUUUGCCAAUUAAAAUCAGUUUUUUGUUUUGUUUUGCAUUGUAAGAACUUUUUAUAUAACAUGAUUAUUAGAUAAUUAUCAGAUGAGUCAUUUCAAAAUAUUCUCUUCCAUUCUAUGGUUGUCUUUCAUUUUUUUUUCUGAGUAGUAUUCUUUUAAAAUUAUUUAUUCUUUGAUACUUUCAUACAUGUAUUCGGUGUAUUUUGAUCACGUCUACCCUCACAUCCCUAUCUAACUCUUCCUGGAUCCCCCAUCAUGUCCCCAUCCUGAUUUCAUGUCCUCUUUUUUCUCUAUAAUUCACUGAGUACAAAAUUAGUGCUACUCAAAUGGGCAUGGGUGUCAAGCCACCUAACAGAACAUGGUCAGCCUACCUGAUGCCACAUCCCUGAAGAACAUGGACUCUUCCUCCACCAUCGUCUAUCAACUGCUAACAGUUUCUCAGCUGUGGAUAGUCCACCAGCCAUCCAUGCUGGAAUGAUGAGUGCUAUAAGCCUGUGUAGACAACAACUGCUUCUGUGAGCUCCUGAGUGCAGCAUCUCUGCUGUGUUAAGAAGACAUGGUUUCGAAGCAGACCCCCCAGAGCUCUGGCUCUUUAAACCUUACUUCCCCUCUUCUCUGAUGUCAUCUGAGCUUUGGGGCCAAGGGUGUGAUACAGAUGUCUCAUUUGUGGCUGAGUACUCCACAGACACUUGUUCUCUGCGUUUUAACAAAAUGUGAGUCUGAGUAUCAGACACUGUCAACUGCAAGAAGAAAUUUCUCUGGUGGGCAAUGAGAGUUGACCUAAUCUAUGGGUAUAGGGAAUUAUUUAGAAGACAGUUUGAUACUAUGUCAAUGUAGCAAACUAAUAGUAACAGGCUUUUCUUCCCCAGAAUGGUUUCUUGGCUGGAUUUAUAGUACCGGGCAUGAGUUUCCUCCUGUGGAGUGGAUCUUCAAUCCAAUCAGAAAGCAGUUUGUUACUCCCAUAACACUUACACCACUGUUGCACCCUCGGGUGUGUCUUGUGAGGCUGGUUGUUGUAACUCACAGGAUUUAUACAUGAGUAAGACUGUUGAUUACGAGGAAAACUAGCCAGCAGGGACUUGACAGUAUUCUUUGAUGCACAAAAGCUUUCCAUUUUGAUGAAGUCAAAUUACUCAUUUUUUGUGAUUUUGGUGCUACAUUUAAGAGGCCAUUGUUUGACCCAAAGCUACUAAUGUACACCUGUGUUUCCAUCUAAGAGUUUUAUACUUUUAACUUCUACAUUUAUGUCUCUGAUCACUUAUGAGUUAUUUUUUUACAGUGAGAAAAAAGACAAAGAUGAAAAUAUAUUUCUUAUUGGAAAUAAUGUAAAUGAGCAAAAUCUUUGAGGUAUAAAAAUGAAAAAAAAAUCCUGUUAGAAUCCUACCAUUGGCAGAAAUAACUCUCCAAAGCAAAGGCAAAAUAAAGGCAUUUGUGAGUUAAAAACAAAAGCUAAAUAAAAGUUUACAGCUGACCAAUA